rnacentral:rRNA from 1 species
UGGGGAAUUUUGGACAAUGGGGGCAACCCUGAUCCAGCCAUGCCGCGUGCGGGAAGAAGGCCUUCGGGUUGUAAACCGCUUUUAGUCGGGAAGAAAAGAUCACUCUUAAUACGGGUGGUUCUUGACGGUACCGGCGGAAUAAGCACCGGCUAACUACGUGCCAGCAGCCGCGGUAAUACGUAGGGUGCGAGCGUUAAUCGGAAUUACUGGGCGUAAAGCGUGCGCAGGCGGUUCGUUAAGUUCGUUGUGAAAGCCCCGGGCUCAACCUGGGAAUGGCAAUGGAAACUGGCGGGCUUGAGUAUGGCAGAGGGGGGUGGAAUUCCGCGUGUAGCAGUGAAAUGCGUAGAGAUGCGGAGGAACACCGAUGGCGAAGGCAGCCCCCUGGGCCAAUACUGACGCUCAGGCACGAAAGCGUGGGGAGCAAACAGG